CCUACGGGAGGCAGCAGUAGGGAAUCUUCCACAAUGGGCGAAAGCCUGAUGGAGCAACGCCGCGUGGGUGAAGAAGGUCUUCGGAUCGUAAAACCCUGUUGUUAGAGAAGAAAGUGCGUGAGAGUAACUGUUCACGUUUCGACGGUAUCUAACCAGAAAGCCACGGCUAACUACGUGCCAGCAGCCGCGGUAAUACGUAGGUGGCAAGCGUUAUCCGGUUUUAUUGGGCGUAAAGGGAACGCAGGCGGUCUUUUAAGUCUGAUGGGAAAGCCUUCGGCUUAACCGGAGUAGUGCAUUGGAAACUGGGAGACUUGAGUGCAGAAGAGGAGAGUGGAACUCCAUGUGUAGCGGUGAAAUGCGUAGAUAUAUGGAAGAACACCAGUGGCGAAAGCGGCUCUCUGGUCUGUAACUGACGCUGAGGUUCGAAAGCGUGGGUAGCAAACAGGAUUAGAUACCCCAGUAGUC
rnacentral:rRNA from 1 species